GUGGGGGAUAUUGCACAAUGGGGGAAACCCUGAUGCAGCGACGCCGCGUGAAGGAAGACGUACUUCGGUAUGUAAACUUCUAUCAGCAGGGAAGAAGAUGACGGUACCUGACUAAGAAGCCCCGGCUAACUACGUGCCAGCAGCCGCGGUAAUACGUAGGGGGCAAGCGUUAUCCGGAUUUACUGGGUGUAAAGGGAGCGUAGACGGAAUGGCAAGUCUGAAGUGAAAUCCUGCGGCUUAACUGCAGAAUUGCUUUAGAAACUGUCAAUCUGGAGUGUUGGAGAGGUAAGCGGAAUUCCUGGUGUAGCGGUGAAAUGCGUAGAUAUCAGGAAGAACACCGGAGGCGAAGGCGGCUUACUGGACAAUAACUGACGUUGAGGCUCGAAAGCGUGGGAAGCAAACAGGAUUAGAUACCCUAGUAGUCC
rnacentral:rRNA from 1 species